GACGAACGUUGGCGGCGUGCCUAAUACAUGCAAGUCAACUGAAAUACCGGUAGCAAUACUGGUAUGGAGGUGGCGCACGGGUGAGUAACACGUAGGUAAUCUGCCUUCAGGUCUGACAUAACCCAUCGAAAGGUGAGCUAAUAUCAGAUGAUGCAGCGGCUUGACAUCAAGACAGUUGUUAAAGCUUCGGCGCCUGAAGAUGAGCCUGCGUCUGAUUAGCUAGUUGGCGGGUAACGGCCACCAAGCUGCGAUCAGUAGCUGGUCUGAGGAGGAUGAUCAGUCACACUGGAAC
rnacentral:rRNA from 1 species